GUGGGGAAUAUUGGGCAAUGGGGGCAACCCUGACCCAGCGACGCCGCGUGAGGGAAGAAGGCCUUAGGGUCGUAAACCUCUGUUGUGUGGGAAGAAGGAAGUGACGGUACCACACGAGGAAGUCCCGGCUAACUACGUGCCAGCAGCCGCGGUAAUACGUAGGGGACGAGCGUUGUCCGGAAUUACGGGGCGUAAAGGGCGCGUAGGCGGUCAUUUAAGUCAGCUGUGAAAUGGUCCGGCUCAACCGGAUCAUGCGGUUGAAACUGGAUGACUGGAGUGCUGGAGAGGCAAAUGGAAUUCCCAGUGUAGCGGUGAAAUGCGUAGAUAUUGGGAAGAACACCGGUGGCGAAGGCGACUUGCUGGCCAGCAACUGACGCUGAGGCGCGAAAGCCAGGGGAGCAAACGGGAUUAGAAACCCGGGUAGUCC
rnacentral:rRNA from 1 species